rnacentral:rRNA from 1 species
UACGUAGGGACCAAGCGUUGUCCGGAAUCAUUGGGCGUAAAGAGCUCGUAGGCGGUUCGUCGCGUCGGCUGUGAAAUCCCGAGGCUCAACCUCGGGUCUGCAGUCGAUACGGGCGGACUGGAGUUCGGCAGGGGAGACUGGAAUUCCUGGUGUAGCGGUGAAAUGCGCAGAUAUCAGGAGGAACACCGGUGGCGAAGGCGGGUCUCUGGGCCGAUACUGACGCUGAGGAGCGAAAGCGUGGGGAGCGAACAGG